UGGUUAUAAUAGCAGAGAGGAUACACCUGUUCCCAUUCCGAACACAGAAGUUAAGCUCUCUAGCGCUGAUGGUACUUGGUGGGAAGCUGCCUGGGAGAGUAGGACAUAGCCAGGUG
rnacentral:rRNA from 1 species